rnacentral:rRNA from 1 species
AAUGGGUCAGCGACUUAUAUUCUGUAGCAAGGUUAACCGAAUAGGGGAGCCGAAGGGAAACCGAGUCUUAACUGGGCGUUAAGUUGCAGGGUAUAGACCCGAAACCCGGUGAUCUAGCCAUGGGCAGGUUGAAGGUUGGGUAACACUAACUGGAGGACCGAACCGACUAAUGUUGAAAAAUUAGCGGAUGACUUGUGGCUGGGGGUGAAAGGCCAAUCAAACCGGGAGAUAGCUGGUUCUCCCCGAAAGCUAUUUAGGUAGCGCCUCGUGAAUUCAUCUCCGGGGGUAGAGCACUGUUUCGGCAAGGGGGUCAUCCCGACUUACCAACCCGAUGCAAACUGCGAAUACCGGAGAAUGUUAUCACGGGAGACACACGGCGGGUGCUAACGUCCGUCGUGAAGAGGGAAACAACCCAGACCGCCAGCUAAGGUCCCAAAGUCAUGGUUAAGUGGGAAACGAUGUGGGAAGGCCCAGACAGCCAGGAUGUUGGCUUAGAAGCAGCCAUCAUUUAAAGAAAGCGUAAUAGCUCACUGGUCGAGUCGGCCUGCGCGGAAGAUGUAACGGGGCUAAACCAUGCACCGAAGCUGCGGCAGCGACACUAUGUGUUGUUGGGUAGGGGAGCGUUCUGUAAGCCUGUGAAGGUGUACUGUGAGGUAUGCUGGAGGUAUCAGAAGUGCGAAUGCUGACAUAAGUAACGAUAAAGCGGGU